AACUCAUUUUUUUUCAUUCUUUUUCUAUCCCCAGGAUCACCAGAACCAAAUAUUUUUUUUGAGGAAAUCAGAACCAAAUAUUCAUCCCUCUUGAGGAUAAUUUGCACAAGAUUUUUCUAGAUCCAAUGGCCGAUUCAGAUCCAAGCAGAGCAAUUGUCGCCGAGACCAACAAGAUCCCUUUCAAACACUCCAAUAUGCUUCCAAGUCUCUGGGACAAGAAGACCUCCAUAAGGAACUGGCCAUCAAUUAUCCCAGGUU
rnacentral:lncRNA from 1 species